rnacentral:rRNA from 1 species
CUGGCUCAGGAUGAACGCUAGCUACAGGCUUAACACAUGCAAGUCGAGGGGCAGCAUGGAGUUGCUGCAAACUCUGAUGGCGACCGGCGCACGGGUGAGUAACGCGUAUCCAACCUUCCCUAUAGUAGAGGAUAGCCCGGCGAAAGUCGGAUUAAUACUCUAUGUUUUCCGUUGCAGACAUCUAAGAUGGAACAAAGGCUUGCCGCUAUAGGAUGGGGGAUGCGUCUGAUUAGGUAGUCGGCGGGGUAACGGCCCACCGAGCCAUCGAUCAGUAGGGGUUCUGAGAGGAAGGUCCCCCACAUUGGAACUGAGACACGGUCCCAAACUCCUACGGGAGGCAGCAGUGAGGAAUAUUGGUCAAUGGGCGAGAGCCUGAACCAGCCAAGUAGCCGUGCAGGAUGACGGCCCUAUGGGUUGUAAACUGCUUUUAUGCGGGGAUAAAGUUCACUACGUGUAGUGUUUUGUAGGUACCGCAUGAAUAAGGACCGGCUAAUUCCGUGCCAGCCGCGGC